GUGAGGAGGCCUGGAACGGUUCCUAGUCGAAAAGGCGUUGAAACCAUGCUUUUCGACGUCGCCUAAGGAUGGGGCCGCGCCCGAUCAGGUUGUUGGUGGGGUAACGGCUCACCAAGCCUAUAACCGGUACGGGCCGUGAGAGCGGGAGCCCGGAGAUGGGCACUGAGACAAGGGCCCAGGCCCUACGGGGCGCAGCAGUCGCGAAAACUCCGCAAUGCGCGAAAGCGUGACGGGGCUACCCCGAGUGCCGUCCGCUGAGGAUGGCUUUUCCCCGGUGUAAUGAGCCGGGGGAAUAAGGAGAGGGCAAGCCUGGUGUCAGCCGCCGCGGUAAUACCAGCUCUCCGAGUGGUAGGGAUGAUUAUUGGGCUUAAAGCGUCCGUAGCCGGCUUAGCAAGUCUCCUGUUAAAUUCAGCGACCUAAUCGUUGAGCCGCGGGAGACACUACUAGGCUAGGAGGCGGGAGAGGCCGACGGUAUUCUCGGGGUAGGGGUGAAAUCCUAUAAUCCCGGGAGGACCACCAGUGGCGAAGGCUGUCGGCUAGAACGCGCUCGACGGUGAGGGACGAAAGCUGGGGGAGCGAACCGGAUUAGAUACCCGGGUAGUCUGAGCUGUAAACGAUGCGGGCUAGGUGUUGGGGUGGCUACGAGCCACUUCAGUGCCGCAGGGAAGCCAUUAAGCCCGCCGCCUGGGGAGUACGGCCGCAAGG
rnacentral:rRNA from 1 species